CAGUAUCCGCGGUAACACGUAGGUGGCAAGCGUUGUCCGGAAUUAUUGGGCGUAAAGGGCUCGCAGGCGGUUUCUUAAGUCUGAUGUGAAGCCCCCGGCUCAACCGGGGAGGGUCAUUGGAAACUGGGAAACCUGAGUGCAGAAGAGGAGAGUGGAAUUCCACGUGUAGCGGUGAAAUGCGUAGAGAUGUGGAGGAACACCAGUGGCGAAGGCGACUCUCUGGUCUGUAACUGACGCUGAGGAGCGAAAGCGUGGGGAGCGAACAGGAUUAGAUACCCCCGUAGUCCCUGUCUCUUAUACA
rnacentral:rRNA from 1 species